rnacentral:lncRNA from 1 species
ACACGUGGACAACUGCGUAUUCAGUUGUGUCAUAGUACCACACGUGGGUAGCAGGACUUGAUGGUCGUUUACUAAGUGUUCAAGAUGGAGCAUUCAAACAAAAACCUUGAGUACAAAGUUGUACACGUGUACAAGGAUUGAUGUAGGUAACAGCUGUGGGGCAUAUGGUGUACAGGUGGACAACGCGGAAUGUAACCUGUAAAACCAUUAUCGUGUACACAUGUACAUGCAGUGAAAGCGUAGUACAUUUGAUGUUUCCUAAACCGCAAAUCGAUUAAAGUAGCUGGGCUGACAUAAGAGCCAUUACAUGUUUAAUAAAGUUAUUACACGUUAAAACGCCCUAAACAGACAAAAAACAAAACGACGGGGGAGGGGAUGGGUGAAUUCUCUAUCCAAAAGAAAAGACUCGUGGAUAUAGGAUUCACCACAUUCAGAUUGGGACAAUGCAGUUGGUCCUGUUGUGACCAGUGCCCCGCAUCAGCCG